rnacentral:rRNA from 1 species
GUAGGGGGGCAAGCGUUGUCCGGAAUUAUUGGGGCGUAAAGCGCGCGCAGGCUGCCCGCCAAGUCAGAUGUGAAAUCCCUCGGGCUCAACCGAGGACCUGCAUUUGAAACUGGUGGGCUAGAGUACAGGAGAGGGAAGUGGAAUUCCUAGUGUAGCGGUGAAAUGCGCAGAUAUUAGGAAGAACACCGGUGGCGAAGGCGGCUUCCUGGACUGUUACUGACGCUGAGGUGCGAAAGCUAGGGGAGCAAACAGGAUUAGAUACCCUGGUAGUCCUAGCUGUAAACGAUGGUCACUAGGUGUAGGGGGUUAUCAACUCCCCCUGUGCCGAAGCUAACGCAUUAAGUGACCCGCCUGGGGAGUACGGCCGCAAGGCUA